GAAAAAGGAAUAGCUCGGAGAGCCAGGCAGCAGCCAGCAGCUGAAGUGACCUGUGAGGAGCAGACGGAGGAGCUCCACAAGGCUCAGAUGUGCGGCUCUAAUGGAGUAGUAAAUAGACUUACAGCCGGGACUGGUAGUAAAUGGAGGGGGGGAGGGGGGAGACAAAACCAGACAACAAAUCAUCCCUGAAAAAAAGCAGACAGCUGUAGUUUUGACAAGAAUGCUUCGGAAGGAAACUGUCCAGUUGUCUAUUUAUAUAUACGCAAAUUUUCUGUAAUUUAGUGCUGAGGCUUCUCUAAUAUUAACACAGGGACCCUGUGUUUUUUUAUUCAGUAGGAGCAAUCCCUGUUCUGUUUUGGUUUCCCCAACCCAGUCUGUACAAGCAGCAGAGAGGGCUGAGGAUGAACCCCCAGCUCUGAAGCCCGUGAUGCCACGCGUGCAGAAAUACAAUUCCGUUAAUGCCUGCAGAUUGUUCCUGAGUGAUUCACCACAGCUCUCAAAGCACGCUAUUUUAUUUGGUUCCUCUUAUAGGUAAAACACACGCAAGUAUCCAUCAGACCUUUUGUUUUACUUUUCCCUUCCUGGAAAUUUAAUGAUUGGAUUGCUGCUGCUGGGUGAAUUUAGCUGGUAGGAUGCCACAUGUGUGGGCUGCUUCCUACAUCUGAGACAGCACAAGACAAGCAGCUUAGUGCAUCUGUGAGAUGAAGACCAAAGAAUCCAGAAUUCCUGGUGCUCAGGCAUUGAUCUUCCCUUUCCUGUUAUUUUAUUUAAGGGAAUUUUUGUUGCUUGGUUUUCAAGCAUCUACCUGCCUUGCCCUCAGCCAGUGCUUACACUCACCUGAGCAGCUUUUCCUUAGAUGCUCACAAAAUUAUCUCUGCUGCUCCAGUUCUCUGACCCUUUAUCUCUAUAACUAGAGCAGCCAGAGGCAAUGAGAAUUGUGUAACCAUCUCCCCACUUCCCAAGUGCUUGGGACAGGUCUGGUAACUUUGAUAGUAUGUCUCAUGGGACACACAGAAUAAAUCUCUAUUAGAUUAGGGCACUUAUAAAUAAACUGGCUGCUUGCUACAGGAAAAAAAGAAAAGGUCUUUAUUUUAGUUACUGGAUGAGAGGGGCAAGGCAUACAAAUAUUUUGGCUAAUACCAAGCUAUUCGUAAACUAUGAAAAAUAUCUUUAUUUUAGAAGUUAUCCCAAGCCAUGUAAUGAAAAUUAAACUACUGCUAGAUUGAAAGCCAAAAAUUUAAAACCAGCAUGUCAUCUAUAAUCUACUAGUGUACAGAAUUACCCUGCACAGAUGGGACUCAAAGAGUAGUCGUACGGCCAGGUGAUAAAGAACUAGAAGCAGUGUUUUUUAUAGCAGAACAGCAUCUGUGAUAACCCACAGCCAUCCUCAGACACUGCAGAACUUGGCGGCAGAUUCAGCGCGAAGAUAUAAAACACAUGAUGAGCACGUAGUGACAUCAAAAGGAGUGCAAUGUAAUGGUGUUCAGAUGUCUCCCCUCAAGCCCACACAAAAGCUGCUCUGAGGGCUGCUGCAGCUCUGAACUCUCAAUGAUUCCCUUUUGAUAAGCCUGUUGUUAUCAAAUCCAAGGAGUCUUAUGAGCAGCACCUCCUGACUUUGUUCCUUUGCUAACUGAAGAGCAUGAAGGCUUCUUCUGUUGCCUGGCAGACGUGUGGAGGUUCAGGUUUUAGACCUCAAAUCCUGUUUUUACUUCAGAAGCUGAUUGCACAAGCGGACAGUGAAUGAGUGUCUCCGUUUCCCUUGCGGUCAGAGAAGAUCCUAUUCAUACUGAGUUUACAAGCAAACACUUCCUUUGAUCUAUGUGGAAAAAUAUAAAUCUAUCUCAACUGGUGGCAGUCAUCAUCUGAAGGAAGGAAAGAAGCACAGUGAGAGAUGGAGCCUUUCACCUGUAGACCACUCUCUUGCUUCAAGCACACAAGCUGCCUGCAUCAGCAAUGAUAUCAGCACUGUAUGGACACCUUUCUGUGUUGCUUUCUCUCUCUGCAGUCCUCUAUAAACUGCAGGUAAAUACCUCUUGCCUUACUAAUCUGCAGUGAGAAAGUAUAAUCUUCACUGGCAGAUAAGUAGGGAAAUUAUUUUCUAGGGAAACAAAUAAAAGGGAAUGAGUCUUGCCACGACUGACUGGUGAAUCAGUGGACUUUCUAGUUGGUGUAAAAAGUCAACCUGACCUUUUAUGAGCUGUGAAAGCUCAGAAAGGAGAAAUGGGGUCAAAUUAACAGCCUCAAGAUGAUAAUCAAGUACAAAAUGUCUUACAGCUACUUGAAACAGCCAGAUAAAGACAGCAGGGUGAAAGAUACUCAGGGACAAAAGGUUAUUUUCCUUUGGUAGCAGCCCAAACAUACACAGGUGGUACCUAUAGUCAGAAUUUCCUGAAUUUUUCCUUUCUUAGAGUAACUUUUGUCUGAGGUGCUGAACUUAUUUACACUCAGUACUCAUAACUUUUCCUCCAGAUUUGUCCACAGCUUACUGUGUUUGUCAUAGAUCAGUCAUUUAAUUGCUCUGUGCCUCAGUUUUCCCAUUUAUCACCUUAAUACAGCAAUAGCUUGCCAGAUUAAUGAAUAACAAGUGCUCAGAAAGCUUCCCACAUUUCCUGUAAGCAUAAAGUAUUAGUAUGUCCUUCCAGGCAGUGGAAAAUAGUGAGCAAACCAAGAGACGUAAGAGUUGCCUCAAGGAGUGUGUGACAAGUCUGUCAGCACGGGCUGUGUGUACGUCAGCUGCAGGGCACUGCACUGCCAAGGGCACUGAAGGGAUCCUGUGGAUCCAAACUGGGAAGCACUCAUGAGGAAACAGCCACUCAGUGUCUCCAGAGUGAGCAACAGCUCUGAUUCCAGAGUCAGGACAGCCAGGAUCCUGUAGUCAUGCCCUACUCUGCCAGGACACCUGCUCCCACAGGAACAUCCUGGCAGGAGCACAGCCCAGCAGCCACACUAUGAGACUGGGAUACUGAAACAGGGACCUUGCUGCAACAGCUGUCCCCCCACUACAGCAGCUGAUGGCUUUUCAAAGUAACUGCAUUUUCAUGAGAAAGUUUAAAAUUACUGUAGGUUGGUCAGACUGGGCAGAGAAAACCAAGGAGUCCUUAAUUUAGUUACAGUGAGGCUGUGGCAUUGCUGUGUGUGUGCUUUUCUAGCACUGGAAUAACUGCUGUAAAAAUGGUAAAGCUGCAAGCUAAAAGCUCAGUAUUAAGAACUGCUGAUGUUCAGACUGCACAAAUAAUUUUGGUUUGGGUAUCAGGUGGCUUUUAAAGCUAGGUGUUGUACAGCAGAUAUGAUUUUUUAAACUCCAGAGUUUCUGUAGUCUUCCAUUUCUUAAAAUGUAAAGUAAAAUUCAAUCAUGUGACCCUGUUUGUUUUUCAGCAGAGCUGAAACUUUUGAUCCACUACAACAAUUUCUUCUAAACUGACAUUAUUCUGAUGGAUUUAACAAUACAGAGAAAUAUUUAGAUAUGAACAUCCUAAAUUCAGUAUCAGAGAAGAUAUUCUUGUCACUGGGCUGUUGAGCACAUGCUUUUUAGCCUUUCUCUAUCUUCCAUAACACUCACUUUCCUCCAACUUGAGAGCUAUUUCCCAAUUCCUGUUUUCCAGCCAAGUUUCUGUCCAUCCAUGUUGCUGGUUUUGUUGUUAUUCCCAGUAUGUUGCACCCAUUCCAGAUUUUUCCCUAGACUUUGUAACACAAGCAAGGUACUUCCAUCUUGUUCUUCAAGCUGUAUUGACACUGAGAUAGAGGCUGGGCAUCUCAACUGAUGCUUGGCUUUAUAACAGUGCUUUCCUAGCAGGGAAGGAGCCUGGAAUAAAAACUUCAGCUCCACCUUUGUAGCCCUCAUGAAGGACUGCGUACAGCCUACCAGAAAUGCCAGAGCAACAGAUGGAGGAAAUAAUGCCUGUGGCAUUACCUUCAGGGAAAUCAGGCUGCUGGUCUCUGACAGACCUUCCUGAGCAAACUGCACAUUUAUUAAGAAGUCCACAACUGGUAAGUUUCCCUGAAGUCACCAGCCCCAGAGCAGGAGGGUCUAGCAAAAAUGGUGUAAAAAAUUGUGAAAUCAAUUAUGAGAUGAUAUGUCCUCUCAGCUUGCUCCAAAAUGCAUUAGUAUUCAAGCCUUUUUUAUUUUUCUUUUCUCUUUUUUUCUUAACAUCAUUCCCAUUUUCAAAUUUAUUGUGGAGAAUUUGAGGUUUAAAAAUUCAAGUGUUACAUCUUUUCAUUCAAAAAAAUAUGUCCCAUGUGGAAAAGUGACAGUGUCACUAUUUUAGUGACAUAAAGAAAGAAUUAUUUAACUGCAUCAUGGUAGGAACUACACUGCACUAUCUGAUCUCAUUCUUAAAUUCUGUUCUACCUAAAAUGUCGUGGUUUAAUAUUUCUCAGUUUUACACUCAGUUGUUUUAAUAUUUCUGAGCUGUAUUGGAAUAUAACUGCAAAAGAAGGUGCACAGAGGAAACAUUUUUUCAUUUACUUCAAAGCUUGCUACAUAAGCUGUGGGAACAAAUCAGCAACUAAACUUUAGGAAACUGAGUCUCUGUUGAAAUUUCUUUACUUCUGUUGUGCAGCUACAAGUAGCUGUAACUUCCCCACACAGUUCCUGAAUAUUUCCUUACACAUUGUUUUCAUUAAAAAGAAAAGCACCUUCACGUGUCUAGUGCUAAUGAAGAGACUGUGACUUGGGCAGACACUGAGGUUUUACUUCCUGCAGCCUUUCCAAUCCAAAUACAUUUCCUACAAGUGGAGUAAAAUUCCACUUACACAGCAAAGCAAAUAGCUUUUGCACACAUUCUUUUGA